CCAUGCAAGUCGAGCGCACUCUUCGGAGUGAGCGGCGGACGGGUUAGUAACGCGUGGGAACGUGCCCUUCUCUAAGGAAUAGCCACUGGAAACGGUGAGUAAUACCUUAUACGCCCUUCGGGGGAAAGAUUUAUCGGAGAAGGAUCGGCCCGCGUUAGAUUAGAUAGUUGGUGGGGUAAUGGCCUACCAAGUCUACGAUCUAUAGCUGGUUUUAGAGGAUGAUCAGCAACACUGGGACUGAGACACGGCCCAGACUCCUACGGGAGGCAGCAGUGGGGAAUCUUGGACAAUGGGCGCAAGCCUGAUCCAGCCAUGCCGCGUGAGUGAUGAAGGCCUUAGGGUCGUAAAGCUCUUUCGCCAGAGAUGAUAAUGACAGUAUCUGGUAAAGAAACCCCGGCUAACUCCGUGCCAGCAGCCGCGGUAAUACGGAGGGGGUUAGCGUUGUUCGGAAUUACUGGGCGUAAAGCGCACGUAGGCGGAUCAGAAAGUAUAGGGUGAAAUCCCAGGGCUCAACCCUGGAACUGCCUUGUAAACUCCUGGUCUUGAGUUCGAGAGAGGUGAGUGGAAUUCCGAGUGUAGAGGUGAAAUUCGUAGAUAUUCGGAGGAACACCAGUGGCGAAGGCGGCUCACUGGCUCGAUACUGACGCUGAGGUGCGAAAGUGUGGGGAGCAAACAGGAUUAGAUACCCUGGUAGUCCACACCGUA
rnacentral:rRNA from 1 species